GACGAACGCUGGCGGCGUGCUUAACACAUGCAAGUCGAACGGAAAGGCCCUGCUUGCAGGGUACUCGAGUGGCGAACGGGUGAGUAACACGUGGGUGAUCUGCCCUGCACUUCGGGAUAAGCCUGGGAAACUGGGUCUAAUACCGGAUAGGAGCCAUUUUUAGUGUGAUGGUUGGAAAGUUUUUUCGGUGUAGGAUGAGCUCGCGGCCUAUCAGCUUGUUGGUGGGGUAAUGGCCUACCAAGGCGGCGACGGGUAGCCGGCCUGAGAGGGUGGACGGCCACAUUGGGGCUGAGAUACGGCCCAGACUCCUACGGGGGGCAGCAGUGGGGAAUAUUGCACAAUGGGCGCAAGCCUGAUGCAGCGACGCCGCGGGGGGGAUGACGGCCUUCGGGUUGUAAACUCCUUUCGCUAGGGACGAAGCUUUUUGCGACGGUACCUAGAUAAGAAGCACCGGCUAACUACGUG
rnacentral:rRNA from 1 species